AUGAUUAUAAAUAGAGUUGUUUUCAUUACGUUCUGAAGUUUGUUCUGAAGAAGAGUUCUGGUUUUUAUUGCCAUUAAAUUAAUUAAUUACAAGAUGAAAAGUCUGGCAACCAUGUCACAUGAGGAUUGCUUGAAACAGGCUGAGAUAUUUUUAAAUUUUGGGGAGGCCAUGAUAACUGCUGGAAGAGGGGUUUUAUGUGUUCUGCUUGAUCCUAGGAAGGAACUCCAGAAACAGAUUUCAGCUUGAAGAAAAAUUUCCUGACAACCAGACCUAUUCAAAACAAGGAUAAGAUGCCUGAGUUUUCUGUUAUUGAAUAUGCUGAAGUAUAGUUACAUAUAAUUUAAUUCAAUAAGCAUUUAGUAAGCAGAGACAAAAAUCAAAUAAGCCCUACCCUCAAGAAGCUUGUCUCCAAUAUGGUAAAUACUAAUUAUUUUUUUAGUAGCUUCAUAAAUAACCACUUGCUUAGGCUGAACUGCACUUAGCUAAUACUCUUCAUUUUUAAGGUUCUAUGAUAUCUCUUAUUCAGAGAGCAUGAACAUUGUUGAUUCUUUUAGGUCUUCAUAAUUUCUCUUUCCUCUCUCCAAUAAUGAGAGGCCACCUUGAAUAUCAAAGAACCUGCUUAGAGUCAAAGAAACAUAGAUUCAAAUAUGAUCUUAUAUAUUUACUAACUGUGUGACCCUAAGCUUCUUUUGACUUCCUCAAUUUCCUCUUCUACAAAAUGAGAAUAAUAAUAGCAUCUAUCUCCCAGAAUUGUUAUGAGGAUAAAAUGAGAUUUUUUUUGUGACUGUAAAUUGCACAGCAGAGGCUGAUUGGAACUGGAGAGAGAAUCCCUUCUUUGGAAUUUCCCUGUAAUAAUGGUCUGGAUAAAAAGUAAAAAAAAGAAACUGAGGAAGAGAAUGAGAGGAAACUAUGAACAGAGACUAGCAUUGAAGAGACAAGGGACUCUUCAAGGAUGAAAAAUUAUGGAAGCUUCCUUUAAAAUAGUUUACUGGUUAUUACUGGUCUUAUAUCCCAAAGAAAUAUUAAAGAAGGGAAAGGGACCUGUAUAUGUGAAAAUGUUUUCAGCAGACCUUUUUGUAGUGGCUAGAUAUGAUGUUCUCUUCUUUAAAAUAUAAUGGUUCUCUCUGGGAGUAGGUUUCUUGGGGGAGGUUUUCUAGAGGCAGCCUUUGUUUCAGUUAAAAGUAAUAAAUUACUCCAAAUGCAGCCAGGUGUUAAAAGUUCAGAUCUUUUAUUGCUUCCUCCAAAAUAGCCGGGUUAGGACUUAUCUCUCUGCUUGGUUCCAAGAGAUCCCUCUGAAUGUCUCCAAAUCCAAAGGUUUGCCCUUCAGCCUCCAGCCAGCACAAAGGUGGAAAGUGGAAUGAAUCUCUUGUCUCCUUGUCUGGGGCUGGGCAGCUUUCUGGAGAGCCUUUCAGAAAAGCCUUGGUCUCAGCGAGGGAAGUGCAGGAGCCCAGCUACCACAGUGGUGUGAGAUGAAGUGAAUCUGGUUGCGUCUCUGAGAGAGGGCUUCUCCUGAACUGACUUGACUGGCUCACUGAAGCUCUUUUUAUGUUCCUUCUCCGAAAGUGGGAUUAUGGGUUUCCUCCCAGCGUGCUCUCUGGCCCUAAGAGCUUCUUGCUUAUAUGAGCUCUCUAAAGGUGUGAACACAAGCAUUGUUUCUAUCAGUUCUACUUAGUACCUUGUUUCAAGUUCUGGCCCAUAACAUCUCCUCCUAAGAUCAGAUCAAUCAUACUGAACCAUGCUAAAUUAGAUAAUUAUUGUCUCUAUCGACUCUAAUGACUUAACACUUUGUAAGGAUUCCAACAGCUAGAAACUGGAAAUUGAAUGGAUGCCUAUCAGUUGGAGAAUGGUUGAGUAAAUUGUGGUAUAUGAAUGUUAUGGAAUAUUAUUGUUCUGUAAGAAAUGACCAGCUGGAUGAAUACAGAGAAACUUGGAGAGACUUACAAGAACUGAUGCUCAGUGAAAUGAGCAGAACCAGAUCAUUAUACACUUGAACAACAAUUCUAUAUGAAUAUCCAUUCUGAUGAAGUGGCUAUCUUCAACAAUGCAAGGAUCCGAAUCAGUUCCAACUGAUCAGUGAUGAACAGAACCAGCUACACUCAGUGAAAGAACACUGGGAAAUGAGUGUGGACCACAACAUAGCUUUUACCUUCUUUCUGUUAUUGUUUACUUGCAUUUUUGUUUUUCUUCCUAGGUUAUUUUUACCUUCUUUCUAAAUCUUAUUUUUCUUAUGUAAUAAGACAACUGUAUAAAUAUGUAUACAUAUAUUGCAUUUAACAUAUACUUUAACAUAUUUAACAUGUAUAGGACUACCUGCCAUCUAGGGGAGAAGGUGGAGGGAAGGAGGGGAAAAGUUGAAAUAGAAGUUGUUGCAAGGGUCAAUGUUGAAAAAUUACCCAUGCAUAUGUUUGGUCAAUAAAAAGCUAUAAUAAGAAUAAAAAACAUAGAUUACUGAACAUUACAGCAAUGGGGGGAAGGGGAGAGAUAUUGAAUAUUUAUUGAGUUUUGUUUGGGUUAGGGAGGGUAGAUCAAAAGUAGUUUAAAUAAUUCCUGAAAGUGAUGCCCAUGGGCAGCUUCAGACUUUGGCAAGCUAACCAAACCCUCCUAGCUAAGUUCAGCUAUGCUGGUUUCCAGAUGUGGUACUUGCUACUAUAUCUAAUGUUAGUGACAGCUCGAGGGAAAAUAGAGACAUAUCCAAGUAUGUGUUUUGGAGAAUUUAUUAGUUUGCUAUGCAUUUUCUUAAAUCAUAAACAUUAUUUGUAAAAGAACUUGAACAUGUUGUCAGAGUAAGAUAGAAAUUAACUAACGUCUCCUGUUAUCUUCCUAGCAGAACAAACUUUCUCUUAAAGGUGGAUGCUGCCCCCUGCUGACAUAUUUUGGGAUAAUUCAGAAAGAGGGAAAAAAACAACCCAAAACCAAAUCGUGAGAAACAUCUUAAGUGAAAUUUACCUAGAAGAGAUAUAUAAGAAUAUCUCAUUGAAAAUUUCUAACUUUUCUAUGUACAUCAGUAGUGAUAGCCCUGUUUUCAUUUACUUUUUCACCUCUUCAAGAAUUUGUAAACUACUCUUAUUUAUUAAUAAAACAAGUUUUUAUUCA